GAGACAACUGGUUGUGAUUAAUUUCAGAGUUGGAGCACUUUAUCUCCGUUGGACAUGUGAGCUUUUCGGCGACACUGCUAUGUGCUCAAUUUGCAGGCCAUAGAAGCACAACUCAGAUUCACAUUUCAAUGUGACAAGGCUCACUGAAGUCCAACAGCCCAGAUACUCACAAAACAAUUAAAAUACCAGAAGCCUAAUAGAUGAGAAGUUCUGGAGGAACUUAGAUUUGCUCGAAGGAACGUCUACAAGCUGUUAAUUUUAAGGGCCAGCCUUCUACGGCAAACUGAGAUGUGUUAAAGCUAAGGACAACGUCCUGGUUCACUGUGCUUCUGGGUGUUUACAGAUAUUGGUGACUACAUAGAUGAAGAGACUCUGAAUGAUACUGGUUCUACUAAGCGGGUCUCUUGGAAACCAUCUAUGGAAAAGUGGGUGUGUCUGAAGCUGUCAGGAGUGUUGGCUACUGGGCUCUCACCGGCCUCAGCCCAUCAGAGACUCACCUGCCCCCACUUUUCCUCCUCCUCAUAAAUCCCCCAACCUUAUUCCUCCCCCAGCCAAUGACUGAAUUACAUGAGACUACACGGACGAACUUUUGUUAUAAUUCAUGCUGUUAAGCUUCUGGGGACGGGCUGAGCAUGGUCCACAACACAAACCCACUUCUUCAUGUUUCAUGUGGAGUCCAUCUGUCCACCUCUCAUGUGGAGUCCAUCUGUCCACCUCUCAGACUGUAUUCUCCCAUGUUCUUUUGACCUGAAAGUGCCACUACCUUCUGAAGGAACUUGGAUUUGGUCCAGACCUGCUCUGCCGGGCUCUCAUGGAAGGUCUUAGUUUUUGGUUCCAAGGGAAGUAUUUGUGACUUAACACAGUGGCCCUGAUUUCUGGAAUUGGUGCCCAUGAGCCCAUUCUGGCCCAUCCUUUCUGCUCAGGAUCUUGCAGGUGAGCACAGAUGGCCAGUUCUUAAUAAGAACAUCAGAAAGUCAGAAGACACUGAUCUCUUUCAGAGUGGAAAAAGAAUUCGCUUUCCAGCAAGAAUUCCAGCUCCCUCCGUUGUCUCCU
rnacentral:lncRNA from 1 species